rnacentral:rRNA from 1 species
UACGUAGGGUGCGAGCAUUAAUCGGAAUUACUGGGCGUAAAGCGUGCGCAGGCGGUUUUGUAAGACAGGGGUGAAAUUCCCGGGCUUAACCUGGGGACUGCGUUUGUGACUGCCAGGCUAGAGUACGGCAGAGGGGGGUGGAAUUCCACGUGUAGCAGUGAAAUGCGUAGAGAUGUGGAGGAACACCAAUGGCGAAGGCAGCCCCCUGGG